GACGAACGCUGGCGGCGUGCUUAACACAUGCAAGUCGAACGAAGAGCGAUGGAAGCUUGCUUCUUUCAAUCUUAGUGGCGAACGGGUGAGUAACGCGUAAUCAACCUGCCCUUCAGAGGGGGACAACAGUUGGAAACGACUGCUAAUACCGCAUACGAUCUAAUCUCGGCAUCGAGGAUAGAUGAAAGGUGGCCUCUACAUGUAAGCUAUCACUGAAGGAGGGGAUUGCGUCUGAUUAGCUAGUUGGAGGGGUAACGGCCCACCAAGGCGAUGAUCAGUAGCCGGUCUGAGAGGAUGAACGGCCACAUUGGGACUGAGACACGGCCCAGACUCCUACGGGAGGCAGCAGUGGGGAAUCUUCCGCAAUGGACGAAAGUCUGACGGAGCAACGCCGCGUGAGUGAUGACGGCCUUCGGGUUGUAAAGCUCUGUUAAUCGGGACGAAAGGCCUUCUUGCGAAUAGUGAGAAGGAUUGACGGUACCGGAAUAGAAAGCCACGGCUAACUACGUG
rnacentral:rRNA from 1 species